rnacentral:tRNA from 1 species
GAGAACCUAGUAAAUAUAUUACAUAGCUUUGUCAAAGCUAAAUAACAACCCUGUGGCUCUCA